GUAGGGUGCAAGCGUUGUCCGGAAUUAUUGGGCGUAAAGAGCUCGUAGGCGGCUUGUCACGUCUGCUGUGAAAACUCGGGGCUCAACCCCGAGCCUGCAGUGGAUACGGGCUAGCUAGAGUGCGGUAGGGGAGACUGGAAUUCCUGGUGUAGCGGUGAAAUGCGCAGAUAUCAGGAGGAACACCGGUGGCGAAGGCGGGUCUCUGGACCGAUACUGACGCUGAGGAGCGAAAGCGUGGGGAGCGAACAGGAUUAGAUACCCUGGUAGUCCACGCCGUAAACGUUGGGCGCUAGGUGUGGGGAACUUUCCACGUUCUCCGUGCCGCAGCUAACGCAUUAAGCGCCCCGCCUGGGGAGUACGGCCGCAAGGCUAAA
rnacentral:rRNA from 1 species